UACGAAGGGGGCUAGCGUUGUUCGGAAUUACUGGGCGUAAAGCGCACGUAGGCGGAUUGUUAAGUCGGGGGUGAAAUCCCAGGGCUCAACCCUGGAACUGCCUCCGAUACUGGCAAUCUGGAGUCCGGGAGAGGUGAGUGGAAUUCCGAGUGUAGAGGUGAAAUUCAUAGAUAUUCGGAAGAACACCAGUGGCGAAGGCGGCUCACUGGACUGGUAUUGACGCUGAGGUGCGAAAGCGUGGGGAGCAAACAGG
rnacentral:rRNA from 1 species